GGUUAAGCGACUAAGCGUACACGGUGGAUGCCCUGGCAGUCAGAGGCGAUGAAGGACGUGCUAAUCUGCGAUAAGCGUCGGUAAGGUGAUAUGAACCGUUAUAACCGGCGAUUUCCGAAUGGGGAAACCCAGUGUGAUUCGUCACACUAUCAUUAACUGAAUCCAUAGGUUAAUGAGGCGAACCGGGGGAACUGAAACAUCUAAGUACCCCGAGGAAAAGAAAUCAACCGAGAUUCCCCCAGUAGCGGCGAGCGAACGGGGAGCAGCCCAGAGCCUGAAUCAGUGUGUGUGUUAGUGGAAGCGUCUGGAAAGGCGCGCGAUACAGGGUGACAGCCCCGUACACAAAAAUGCACAUGCUGUGAGCUCGAUGAGUAGGGCGGGACACGUGGUAUCCUGUCUGAAUAUGGGGGGACCAUCCUCCAAGGCUAAAUACUCCUGACUGACCGAUAGUGAACCAGUACCGUGAGGGAAAGGCGAAAAGAACCCCGGCGAGGGGAGUGAAAAAGAACCUGAAACCGUGUACGUACAAGCAGUGGGAGCACGCUUAGGCGUGUGACUGCGUACCUUUUGUAUAAUGGGUCAGCGACUUAUAUUCUGUAGCAAGGUUAACCGAAUAGGGGAGCCGAAGGGAAACCGAGUCUUAACUGGGCGUUAAGUUGCAGGGUAUAGACCCGAAACCCGGUGAUCUAGCCAUGGGCAGGUUGAAGGUUGGGUAACACUAACUGGAGGACCGAACCGACUAAUGUUGAAAAAUUAGCGGAUGACUUGUGGCUGGGGGUGAAAGGCCAAUCAAACCGGGAGAUAGCUGGUUCUCCCCGAAAGCUAUUUAGGUAGCGCCUCGUGAAUUCAUCUCCGGGGGUAGAGCACUGUUUCGGCAAGGGGGUCAUCCCGACUUACCAACCCGAUGCAAACUGCGAAUACCGGAGAAUGUUAUCACGGGAGACACACGGCGGGUGCUAACGUCCGUCGUGAAGAGGGAAACAACCCAGACCGCCAGCUAAGGUCCCAAAGUCAUGGUUAAGUGGGAAACGAUGUGGGAAGGCCCAGACAGCCAGGAUGUUGGCUUAGAAGCAGCCAUCAUUUAAAGAAAGCGUAAUAGCUCACUGGUCGAGUCGGCCUGCGCGGAAGAUGUAACGGGGCUAAACCAUGCACCGAAGCUGCGGCAGCGACGCUGAUGCGUUGUUGGGUAGGGGAGCGUUCUGUAAGCCUGUGAAGGUGUACUGUGAGGUAUGCUGGAGGUAUCAGAAGUGCGAAUGCUGACAUAAGUAACGAUAAAGCGGGUGAAAAGCCCGCUCGCCGGAAGACCAAGGGUUCCUGUCCAACGUUAAUCGGGGCAGGGUGAGUCGACCCCUAAGGCGAGGCCGAAAGGCGUAGUCGAUGGGAAACAGGUUAAUAUUCCUGUACUUGGUGUUACUGCGAAGGGGGGACGGAGAAGGCUAUGUUGGCCGGGCGACGGUUGUCCCGGUUUAAGCGUGUAGGCUGGUUUUCCAGGCAAAUCCGGAAAAUCAAGGCUGAGGCGUGAUGACGAGGCACUACGGUGCUGAAGCAACAAAUGCCCUGCUUCCAGGAAAAGCCUCUAAGCAUCAGGUAACAUCAAAUCGUACCCCAAACCGACACAGGUGGUCAGGUAGAGAAUACCAAGGCGCUUGAGAGAACUCGGGUGAAGGAACUAGGCAAAAUGGUGCCGUAACUUCGGGAGAAGGCACGCUGAUAUGUAGGUGAAGUCCCUCGCGGAUGGAGCUGAAAUCAGUCGAAGAUACCAGCUGGCUGCAACUGUUUAUUAAAAACACAGCACUGUGCAAACACGAAAGUGGACGUAUACGGUGUGACGCCUGCCCGGUGCCGGAAGGUUAAUUGAUGGGGUCAGCGCAAGCGAAGCUCUUGAUCGAAGCCCCGGUAAACGGCGGCCGUAACUAUAACGGUCCUAAGGUAGCGAAAUUCCUUGUCGGGUAAGUUCCGACCUGCACGAAUGGCGUAAUGAUGGCCAGGCUGUCUCCACCCGAGACUCAGUGAAAUUGAACUCGCUGUGAAGAUGCAGUGUACCCGCGGCAAGACGGAAAGACCCCGUGAACCUUUACUAUAGCUUGACACUGAACAUUGAGCCUUGAUGUGUAGGAUAGGUGGGAGGCUUGGAAGUGUGGACGCCAGUCUGCAUGGAGCCGACCUUGAAAUACCACCCUUUAAUGUUUGAUGUUCUAACGUUGACCCGUAAUCCGGGUUGCGGACAGUGUCUGGUGGGUAGUUUGACUGGGGCGGUCUCCUCCUAAAGAGUAACGGAGGAGCACGAAGGUUGGCUAAUCCUGGUCGGACAUCAGGAGGUUAGUGCAAUGGCAUAAGCCAGCUUGACUGCGAGCGUGACGGCGCGAGCAGGUGCGAAAGCAGGUCAUAGUGAUCCGGUGGUUCUGAAUGGAAGGGCCAUCGCUCAACGGAUAAAAGGUACUCCGGGGAUAACAGGCUGAUACCGCCCAAGAGUUCAUAUCGACGGCGGUGUUUGGCACCUCGAUGUCGGCUCAUCACAUCCUGGGGCUGAAGUAGGUCCCAAGGGUAUGGCUGUUCGCCAUUUAAAGUGGUACGCGAGCUGGGUUUAGAACGUCGUGAGACAGUUCGGUCCCUAUCUGCCGUGGGCGCUGGAGAACUGAGGGGGGCUGCUCCUAGUACGAGAGGACCGGAGUGGACGCAUCACUGGUGUUCGGGUUGUCAUGCCAAUGGCACUGCCCGGUAGCUAAAUGCGGAAGAGAUAAGUGCUGAAAGCAUCUAAGCACGAAACUUGCCCCGAGAUGAGUUCUCCCUGACUCCUUGAGAGUCCUGAAGGAACGUUGAAGACGACGACGUUGAUAGGCCGGGUGUGUAAGCGCAGCGAUGCGUUGAGCUAACCGGUACUAAUGAACCGUGAGGCUUAACCUU
rnacentral:rRNA from 1 species